rnacentral:rRNA from 1 species
UCUGGUUGAUCCUGCCAGACCCGACUGCUAUCGGAUUGGGAUUUAGCCAUGUUAGUUGUGCGUCCUUGGCUACAGGGACGCAGCGUACGGCUCAGUAACACGUAGUCAACCUGCCCUGGAGACGCGGACAAACCCGGGAAACUGGGGCCUAUCCGCGAUAGAUGACCUCAUCUGGAAGGAGAGGUCGUCGAAAAGGGCGCACGGGUAUGCUCUGUGCGAACCGCUCCAGGAUGGGACUGCGGCCGAUCAGGCUGUUGGCGGGGUAAUGGCCCACCAAACCUGUAACCGGUACGGGCUUUGAGAGAAGGAGCCCGGAGAUGGACACUGAGACAAGGGUCCAGGCCCUACGGGGCGCAUCAGGCGCGAAACCUUCGCAAUGCGCGAAAGCGUGACGAGGCUAGUCCGAGUGCUUCCUGCUAAAGGGAGCUUUUCUCGGCUGUAAAUAGGCCGGGGAAUAAGGGGAGGGCAAGUCUGGUGUCAGCCGCCGCGGUAAUACCAGCUCCUCGAGUGGUCGGGACGAUUAUUGGGCCUAAAGCACCCGUAGCCGGUUCCGUAAGUCCUCUGUUAAAUCCAGUCGCUCAACGGCUGGUCUGCAGAGGAUACUGCGGGACUAGGAGGCGGGAGAGGCGGACGGUACUCCGCGUGUAGGGGUAAAAUCCUUUGAUCCGCGGAAGACCACCAGUGGCGAAGGCGGUCUGCCAGAACGCGCUCGACGGUGAGGGGUGAAAGCUGGGGGAGCGAACCGGAUUAGAUACCCGGGUAGUCCCAGCCGUAAACGAUGCGAGCUAGAUGAUUCGAUCGCAGUUCGCGAUCGAAGUGUCGCAGGGAAGCCGUUAAGCUCGCCGCCUGGGGAGUACGGUCGCAAGGCUGAAUCGUAAGAAGAUCUUUUCUUCUUGCGCAGUUCACUUAAAGGAAUUGGCGGGGGAGCACCACAAGGGGUGAAGCCUGCGGUUCAAUUGGAUUCACGCCGG